CCCCUCUCUCUUUCCCGCAGGGCCCAAUAAGGCCCAAUACUUCUCCCCGGCGAAUUCCCGUAACUCUCCGGUACUCCGAUAAUUACCCGAAUGACUCGGAACCUUUCCGAACUCCGAAUAUAGUCGUCCAAUAUAUCGAUCUUUACGUCUCGACCAUUUCGAGACUCCUCGUCAUGUCCCCGAUCUCAUCCGGGACUCCGAACUCCUUCGGUACAUCAAAACUCAUAAACUCAUAAUAUAACUGUCAUCGAAACCUUAAGCGUGCGGACCCUACGGGUUCGAGAACAAUGUAGACAUGACCGAGACACGUCUCCGGUCGAUAACCAAUAGCGGGACCUGGAUGCCCAUAUUGGCUCCUACAUAUUCUACGAAGAUCUUUAUCGGUCAGACCGCAUAACAACAUACGUUGUUCCCUUUGUCAUCGGUAUGUUACUUACCCGAGAUUCGAUCGUCGGUAUCCAAUACCUAGUUCAAUCUUGUUACCGGCAAGUCUCUUUACUCGUUCCGUAAUACAUCAUCUCACAACUAACAUAUUAGUUGUAAUGCUUGCAAGGCUUAUGUGAUGUGUAUUACCGAGAGGGCCCAGAGAUACCUCUCCAACAAUCGGAGUGACAAAUCCUAAUCUCGAAAUACGCCAACCCAACAUCGACCAUUGGAGACACCUGUAGUACUCCUUUAUAAUCACCCAGUUACGUUGUGACGUUUGGUAGUACCCAAAGUGUUCCUCCGGUAAACGGGAGUUGCAUAAUCUCAUAGUCAUAGGAACAUGUAUAAGUCAUGAAGAAAGCAAUAGCAACACACUAAACAAUCGGGUGCUAAGCUAAUGGAAUGGGUCAUGUCAAUCAGAUCAUUCUACUAAUGAUGUGACUUCGUUAAUCAAAUAACAACUCAUUGUUCAUGGUUAGGAAACAUAACCAUCUUUGAUUAAUGAACUAGUCAAGUAGAGGCAUACUAGUGACACUCUGUUUGUCUAUGUAUUCACACAUGUAUUAUGUUUCCGGUAAAUACAAUUCUAGCAUGAAUAAUAAACAUUUAUCAUGAUUAUAAGGAAAUAAAUAAUAACUUUAUCAUUGCCUCUAGGGCAUAUUUCCUUCAGUCUCCCACUUGCACUAGAGUCAAUAAUCUAGUUCACAUCACCAUGUGAUUUAACACCAAUAUUCAUAUCUGUAUAUGAUUAACACCCAUAGUUCACAUCGUCAUGUGACCAACACCCAAAGGGUUUUACUAGAGUCAAUAAUCUAGUUCACAUCGCUUAUGUGAUUAACACCCAAAGAGUACUAAGGUGUGAUCAUGUUUUGCUCAUGAGAGAAGCUUAGUCAACGGGUCUGUCACAUUUAGAGCCGUAUGUAUUUUGCAAAUAUUCUAUGUCUACAAUGCUCUGUACGGAGCUACUCUAGCUAAUUGCUCCCACUUUCAAUAUGUAUCCAGAUAGAGACUUAGAGUCAUCUGGAUCAGUGUAAAAGUUUGCACUGAUGUAACUUUUACAACAAACUCUUUUAUUACCUCCAUAAUCGAGAAACAUCUCCUUAGUCCUUACUAAGGAUAUUCUUGACCAAUGUCCAGUGAUCUACUCCUAGAUCACUAUUGUACUCUCUUGCCAAAUUCAGAGCAAGGUAUACAAUAGGUCUGGUACAUAGCAUAGCAUACUUUAUAGAACCUAUGACUGAGGCACAGGGAAUGACUUUUCAUUCUCUUUCUAUUUUCUGCUGUGGUCGGGACUUUGAGUCUUACUCAAUUUCACACCUUUGCAACACAGGCAAGAACUCUUUCUUUGACUGUUCCAUUUUGAACUAUUUCAAAAUCUUGCCAAGGUAUGUACUCAUUGAAAAAUCUUAUCAAGCGUCUUGAUCUAUCUCAAUAGAUCUUGAUGCUCAAUAUAUAAGUAGCCUUUUACUGAGGUCUUUUCUUUUUAAAGAACUCCUUUAAAACACUCCUUUAUGCUUUGCAGAAAAAUUCUACAUCAUUUUUGAUCAACAAUAUGUCACUCACAUAUACUAAUCAGAAAGGCUGUAGUGCUCCCACUCACUUUAUUGUAAAUAUAGGCUUCAUCGUAAGUCCGUAUAAAACUAUAUGCUUUGAUCAACUUAUCAAAGCGUAUAUUCCAACUCCGAGAUGCUUGCACCAGUCCAUAGAUGGAUCGCUGGAGCUUGCACAUUUUGUUUAGCACCUUUAGGAUUGACAAAACCUUCUGGUUGCAUCAUAUACAACUCUUUUUUAAUAAAUCCAUUAAGGAAUGUAGUUUUGACAUCCAUUUGCCAGAUUUCAUAAAAUGUGGCAAUUGCUAACAUGAUUCAGAUAGACUUAAGCAUCGAUACGAGUGAGAAAACCUCAUUGUAUUCAACACCUUGAACUUGUUGAAAAACUUUUGCAACAAGUCGAGCUUGGUAGAUAGUAAUACUACUAUCAGUGUCCGUCUUCCUCUUGAAGAUCCAUUCAUUUAAGAUAGCUUGCUGAUCAUCGAGCAAGUCAAUCAAAGUCCAUACUUUGUUCUCAUACAUGGAUCAUAUCUCAGAUUUUAUGGCCUCGAGCCAUUUCGCGGAAUCUGGGCUCAUCAUCGCUUCCUCAUAGUUCGUAGGUUCAUCAUGGUCUAGUAACAUGACUUCCAGAACAUGAUUACUACACCACUUUGGUGCGGAUCUUACUCUGGAAGACCUACGAGGUUCUGUAGUAACUUGAUCUGAAGUUUCAUGAUCAAUAUCAUUAGCUUCCUCACUAAUUGGUGUAUUUGUCACAGGAACUGAUUUCUGUGAUGAACUACUUUCCAAUAAGGGAGUAGGUACAGUUACCUUAUCAAGUUCUACUUUCCUCCCACUCACUUCUUUCGAGAGAAACUCCUUCUCUAGAAAGGAUCUAUUAUCAGCAACAAAUUUGCCUUUGGAUCUGUGAAAGAAAGUGUACCCAACAAUUUCCUUUGGGUAUUCUAUGAAGACGCACUUCUCUGAUUUGGGUUCGAGCUUAUCAAGUUAAAAAACCUUUUUUUUUCUUAUAAGCAUCACAACUCCAAACUUUAAGAAAUGACAGCUUAGGUUUACUGCUAAACCAUAGUUCAUACGGUGUCAUCUCAACGGAUUUAGAUGGUGCCCUUUUAAUGUGAAUGCAGCUAUCUCUAAUGCAUAACCCCAAAACAAUAUUGGUAAAUCAGUAAGAGACAUCAUAGAUUGCACCAUAUCCAAUAAAGUGCAGUUACGACGUUCGGACACACCAUAACGUUGUGGUGUUCCAGGUGGCGUGAGCUGUGAAACUAUUCCACAUUGUUUUAAUUGAAGACCAAACUCGUAACUCAAAUAUUCAUCUCUACGAUCAGAUUGCAGAAACUUUAUUUUCUUGUUACGAUGAUUUUCAACUUCACUCUGAAAUUCUUUGAACCUUUCAACUAUUUCAGACUUAUAUUUCAUCAAGUAGAUAUACCCAUAUCUGCUCAAAUCAUCUUGUGAAGGUCAGAAAAUAAUGAUACUUACCACGAGCCUUCAUACUCAUUGGUCUGCAUACAUCAGUAUGUAUUAUUUCCAACAAGUCAGUAACUCGUUCCAUUGUUCCGAAGAACAGAGUUUUAGUCAUCUUGCCCAAAAGGCACGGUUCGCAAGCAUCAAAUGAUUCAUAACCAAGUGAUUCCGAAAAUCCAUCUUUAUGGAGUUUCUUCAUGCGCUUUACACCGAUAUGACCCAAACGGCAGUGCCACAAAUAAGUUGCACUAUCAUUAUUAACUUUGCAUCUUUUGGCAUCAAUAUUAUGAAUAUGUGUAUCACUACGAUCGAGAUCCAAUGAACCAUUUUCAUUGGGUGUGUAACCAUAUAAGGUUUUAUUCAUGUAAACAGAACAACAGUUUAUUCUCUUACUUAAAUGAAUAACCGUAUUGCAAUGAAUCAUGAUCAAAUCAUAUUCAUGCUCAACGCCAACACCAAAUAACAUUUAUUUAGGUUCAACACUAAUCCCGAAAGAAUAGGGAGUGUGCGAUGAUGAUCAUAUCAAUCUUGGAACUACUUCCAACACUCAUCGUCACUUCCCCUUCAACUAGUCUUUGUUUAUUCUGCAACUCCCGUUUUGAGUUACUAAUCUUAGCAACUGAACUAGUAUCAAAUACUGAGGGUUUGCUAUAAACACUAGUAAAGUACACAUCAAUAACAUGUAUAUCAAAUAUACUAAUGUUCACUUUGCCAUUCUUCUUAUCCGCCAAUCACUUGGGGUGAUUCCGUUUUCCGGUGACCAGUCCCUUUGCAGUAGAAACACUUAGUCUCAGGCUUAGGAUCUGACUUGGGCUUCUUCACUUGAGCAGCAACUUGCUUGCCGUUCUUCUUGAAGGUCCCCUUCUUCCCUUUGCCCUUUUCUUGAAACUAGUGGUCUUAUCAACCAUCAACACUUGAUGUUUUUCUCGAUUUCUACCUUCGUCAAUUUCCGCAUUACGAAGAGCUUGGGAAUCGUUUCUGUUAUCCCUUGCAUGUCAUAGUUCAUCACGAAGUUCUACUAACUUGGUGAUGGUGACUAGAGAAUUCUGUCAAUCACUAUCUUAUCUGGAAGAUUAACUCCCACUUGAUUCAAGCGAUUGUAGUACUCAGACAAUCUGAGCACAUGCUCACUAGUUGAGCGAUUCUCCUCCAUCUUUUAGCUAUAGAACUUGUUGGAGACUUCAUAUCUCACAACUCGGGUAUUUGCUUGAAAUAUUCACUUCAACUCCUGGAACAUCUCAUAUGGUCCAUGACGUUCAAAAUGUCUUUGAAGUCCCGAUUCUAAGCCGUUAAGCAUGGUGCACUUAAACUAUCAAGUAGUCAUCAUAUUGAGCUAGCCAAACGUUCAUAACGUCUGCAUCUGCUCCUGCAAUAGGUCCGUCACCUAGCGGUGCAUCAAGGACAUAAUUCUUCUGUGCAGCAAUGAGGAUAAACCUCAGAUCACGGAUCCAAUCCGCAUCAUUGCUACUAACAUCUUUCAACAUAAUUUUCUCUAGGAACAUAUCAAAAUAAACACAGGGAAGCAACAACGCGAGCUAUUGAUCUACAACAUGAUUUGCAAAAUACUACCAGGACUAAGUUCAUGAUAAAUUUAAGUUCAAUUUUAAUCAUAUUACUUAAGAACUCCCACUUAGAUAGACAUCCCUCUAAUCCUCUAAGUGAUCACGUGAUCCAAAUCAACUAAACCAUAACCGAUCAUCACGUGAGAUGGAGUAGUUUCAUCGGUGAACAUCAUUAUGUUGAUCAUAUCUACUAUAUGAUUCACGCUCGACCUUUCGGUCUCCGUGUUCCGAGGCCAUAUCUGCAUAUGCUAGGCUCGUCAAGUUUAACCUGAGUAUUCUGCGUGCGCAACUGUUUUGCACCCGUUGUAUUUGAACGUAGAGCCUAUCACACCCGAUCAUCACGUGGUGUCUCAGCACGAAGAACUUUCGCAACGGUGCAUACUCAGGGAGAACACUUCUUGAUAAUUUAGUGAGAGAUCAUCUUAUAAUGCUACCGUCAAUCAAAGCAAGAUAAGAUGCAUAAAAGAUAAACAUCACAUGCAAUCAAUAUAAGUGAUAUGAUAUGGCCAUCAUCAUCUUGUGCUUGUGAUCUCCAUCUCCGAAGCACCGUCAUGAUCACCAUCGUCACCGGCGCGACACCUUGAUCUCCAUCAUAGCAUCGUUGUCGUCUCGCCAAUCUUAUGCUUCCACGACUAUCACUACCGUUUAGUAAUAAAGUAAAGCAUUACAUCGCGAUUGCAUUGCAUACAAUAAAGCGACAACCAUAUGGCUCCAGCCAGUUGCCGAUAACUCGGUUACAAAACAUGAUCAUCUCAUACAAUAAAAUUCAGCAUCAUGCCUUGACCAUAUCACAUCACAACAUGCCCUGCAAAAACAAGUUAGACGUCCUCUACUUUGUUGUUGCAUGUUUUACGUGGCUGCUACGGGCUUAAGUAAGAACCAAUCUCACCUACGCAUCAAAACCACAACGAUAGUUUGUCAAAUAGACUCCGUUUUAACCUUCGCAAGGACCGGGCGUAGCCAUACUUGGUUCAACUAAAGUUGGAGAGGCAGUCGCCCGCAAGCCAUCUCUGUGCAAAGCACGUCGAGGGAACCGGUCUCGCGUAAGCGUACGCGUAAGGUUGGUCCGGGUCGUCUCGUCCAACAAUACCGCCGAACCAAAGUAUGACAUGCCGGUAGGCAGUAUGACUUGUAUCGUCCACAACUUACUUGUGUUCUACUCGUGCAUAUAACAUCAACAUCAAUAACCUGGCUCUGAUACCACUGUUGGGUUUCGUGGAAAUUUCAAAAAUUUUCCUACGCGCACACAGGAUCAUGUGAUGCAUAGCAACGAGAGGAGAGUGUUGUCUACGUACCCAACGCAGACCGACUGCGGAAGCGAUGACACGACGUAGAGGAAGUAGUCGUACGUCUUCUCGAUCCAACCGAUCAAGCACCGAAACUACGGCACCUCCGAGUUCGAGCACACGUUCAGCUCGAUGACGAUCCCCGGACUCCGAUCCAGCAAAGUGUCGGGGAUGAGUUCCGUCAGCACGACGGCGUGGUGACGAUCUUGAUGAACUACAGCAGCAGGGCUUCGCCUAAACUCCGCUACAGUAUUAUCGAGGAAUAUGGUGGCAGGGGGCACCGCACACGGCUAAGGAAUCGAUCACGUGGAUCAACUUGUGUCAACUUGUGUGUCUAGGGUGCCCCCCUGCCCCCGUAUAUAAAGGAGGGAGGGAGGAGGAGGCCGGCCUAGGGAGGAGGCGCGCCAUAGGGGAGUCCUACUCCCACCGGGAGUAGGAUUCCCCCUUUCCUAGUCCAACUAGGAAUCCUUCCAUGUAGUAGGAGUAGGAGACUAGGAAGGGGAAGAGAGAAGGGAAGGAAGGAGGGGGUGCGGCCCCUCCCCCUAGUCCAAUUCGGACUAGGCCUUGGGGGCGCGCGCGGCCUGCCCUAGGCAGCCCCUCUCUCUUUCCCGCAGGGCCCAAUAAGGCCCAAUACUUCUCCCCGGCGAAUUCCCGUAACUCUCCGGUACUCCGAUAAUUACCCGAAUGACUCGGAACCUUUCCGAACUCCGAAUAUAGUCGUCCAAUAUAUCGAUCUUUACGUCUCGACCAUUUCGAGACUCCUCGUCAUGUCCCCGAUCUCAUCCGGGACUCCGAACUCCUUCGGUACAUCAAAACUCAUAAACUCAUAAUAUAAUUGUCAUCGAAACCUUAAG
rnacentral:lncRNA from 1 species